CAGCCGCCGCGGGAAUACGUAGGUGACGAGCGUUGUCCGGAAUUAUUGGGCGUAAAGGGCUCGCAGGCGGUUUCUUAAGUCUGAUGUGAAAGCCCCCGGCUCAACCGGGGAGGGUCAUUGGAAACUGGGAAACUUGAGUGCAGAAGAGGAGAGUGGAAUUCCACGUGUAGCGGUGAAAUGCGUAGAGAUGUGGAGGAACGCCAGUGGCGAAGGCGACUCUCUGGUCUGUAACUGACGCUGAGGAGCGAAAGCGUGGGGAGCGAACAGGAUUAGAUACCCCGGUAGUCCCUGUCUCUUAUAC
rnacentral:rRNA from 1 species